GGACCCAUUCCGAACCCGGAAGCUAAGCCUGCCCGCGCUGAUGGUACUGCAACCGGGAGGUUGUGGGAGAGUAAGUUACCGCCGACA
rnacentral:rRNA from 1 species